rnacentral:rRNA from 1 species
UGCAGUCGGGCGCUGUCACACACAGAUCGACUCACGGGUGAAUAUCGCGUGGGAAUCUACCCAACUCUAGGGAAUAACUCAGGGAAACUUGUGCUAAUACCGUAUACGCCCUUCGGGGGAAAGAUUUAUCGGAAUUGGAUGAUACCGCGUUGGAUUAGCUCAUUGGUGGGGUAAACGCCUACCAUGGCGACGAUCCAUAGGUGGUCUGACACGAUGAUCAGCCACCUUGGGACUGAUACGAGGACCAAACUCCUACCGGAGGCAGCGAUGCGGAAUAUAGACCAAUGGGCGCAAGCCUGAUGCAGCCUUGCCCCGUGUGUGAUGAAGGCCUUAGGGUUGUAAACCAGUUUCACCAGAGAAUAUAAUGACUGUAUCCGGAUAAGAAGCCCCGGCUAAGUUCGGGCCAACAACCGCGGUAAUACGAAUGGGGCUAGCAUUAUUCGGAAUUACUGGCCGUGAAGCGCACGUCGGCGGAUCGAUCAGUGAGGGGUGAAAUCCCAGAUCUCAAGUCUGGAACUGCCUUUGAUACUGUCUGUCUAGAGAA